AUACGUAGGGUGCGAGCGUUGUCCGGAAUUACUGGGCGUAAAGAGCUCGUAGGUGGUUUGUCGCGUCGUCUGUGAAAUUCCGGGGCUUAACUCCGGGCGUGCAGGCGAUACGGGCAUAACUUGAGUACUGUAGGGGAGACUGGAAUUCCUGGUGUAGCGGUGAAAUGCGCAGAUAUCAGGAGGAACACCGGUGGCGAAGGGGGGUCUCUGGGCAGUAACGGACGCUGAGGAGGGAAAGCAUGGGUAGCGAACAGGAUUAGAUACCCUGGUAGUCCAUGCCGUAAACGGUGGGCGCUAGGUGUAGGGGUCUUCCACGACUUCUGUGCCGUAGCUAACGCAUUAAGCGCCCCGCCUGGGGAGUACGGCCGCAAGGCUAAAACUCAAAGGAAUUGACGGGG
rnacentral:rRNA from 1 species